rnacentral:rRNA from 1 species
GAUGAACGCUGGCGGCGUGCCUAAUACAUGCAAGUCGAGCGAACAGACGAGGAGCUUGCUCCUCUGACGUUAGCGGCGGACGGGUGAGUAACACGUGGAUAACCUACCUAUAAGACUGGGAUACUUCGGGAAACCGGAGCUAAUACCGGAUAAUAUAUUGAACCGCAUGGUUCAAUAGUGAAAGACGGUUUUGCUGUCACUUAUAGAUGGAUCCGCGCCGCAUUAGCUAGUUGGUAAGGUAACGGCUUACCAAGGCAACGAUGCGUAGCCGACCUGAGAGGGUGAUCGGCCACACUGGAACUGAGACACGGUCCAGACUCCUACGGGAGGCAGCAGUAGGGAAUCUUCCGCAAAGGGCGAAAGCCUGACGGAGCAACGCCGCGUGAGUGAUGAAGGUCUUCGGAUCGUAAAACUCUGUUAUUAGGGAAGAACAAAUGUGUAAGUAACUAUGCACGUCUUGACGGUACCUAAUCAGAAAGCCACGGCUAACUACGUG